GUGACACAGUUAACCCUCUGCCACCAUAAGCGCGUGUUCCGUCCAAAUUACUGUGUUUGUUUUGACGCUGAAUACAACAAGCAUAUCUUUAAACCUUAUUGCUUUGUAAGACAGAGGAUAACAUAUCAAGGAUGACUUCUCCGGCAAUAAGUAAAUCACCAGAAAAGCAAAAGAGUGAAAAUAAAUCACCGGCGCAUUCGGAGAACGCAGAGCAAGCACCAUCUAACGGGAAUUCAGCCACCACAAUAUCUUCCAGUGGGCAGCAAUCAGACCCUUUUAGCUGUUUUAGAAUAUUUAAAUUAGCCGGCCUCAUGAUGAAGCAAGGAUGUUAAAUCAUUUCAAGUAACAAUGUAUUUUAAAUACACUGUUGAUUAAGUAGAAAUUAAGCUGUUUAUAUUAAAAAGUAUUUUUAACAAAAGAGCAAUUUCAUCUAAAAAUAAUAAAAUCUUCAUAGAUGAUGUAGAAACCUAUAGACAAUAUUUUAAAGGUUUUUUAGAAAUUUAGAUUUAUUUCAAAUAUUACAAAUUAUUUAUUUCAGCAUAUAUUAAAAUGUCAAAAUGUAUGUAAUAAGAUUAAGCUUUAGUUGUUAUAUUUGAAAGUUAAGGUAAUAGGCAAAAAAAUUAUAUAUAUUUAUAGUAGUUGGGAUCAUAGCACACCAUAGAUAAACAUAGAGUAAUAAUCCCUACGUUUAAAUUUUGAUCCUGUAUUAUUAGAAUUCAAUUUAUUAUUUUAUUCUGUAUAAAAUACAACUUAACUAUAUGGUAAACAUUUCUAACACUGUCUUCACUUACACAAGUAUGAUUAUGUAAAAUAUUCAUUUUUUUUAUAAACUUUUGCUAUGGUUAUAGUAAGGUAAUUUAAUUAUUUACUAUAAAGCUUCAGUCUAACAAUAUUAUUUCUAUAUAUAUAGUACGAUACAGUCACCUAGAGGGUUCGGUUAUUUUAGUACUACCUCAUCUGAAUAUAUAGUAUCACCGAUUGUUAUCUAAGUAGGAAAAAUACAAAUGUUUAUGAAAAAAAGUAAAUAAAAACUACUAAAAAUG